AAUUCCGAGUCAGGAUACUAAUAACCUUUUUACUUUCUUUUCUGUGUAUACACGAAUACUAACACAAACAACUCGACAACAAAUAAAAAUCCGAUUUUCACAAACGAUCCCACGACAUAUUUAUUAUUAAAUAUUGUUCGUUUUGCAUUCAAUUGAUUCUCACUACAACAAUGGUUCAUCAUUAUUAUCAAUUUGUAGAAACCAUAAAGGUGAUAGUCCAAUUGUAUCAGUAAAAAAGAUGCAUAGCUGUUCGCUAUUUUUAGGCAUUGGUAAUCUUUUGGUUUGGUUUCCAUUAUUACGUUAUUUUGCCUAUUUUCAAUCAUACAACAUUCUCUUAUUGUAACAUUGAAGAAAUCUUUUCCAAACGUUUUGCGGUUCUGUCUUUGUGUAUUUUUAGUUUAUGGAGGAUUUUGUUUUUGUGGUUGGGUCGUUUUGGGUCCUCAUCUCAAAUUUCGUACGCUAAGCUAACAUUGGAAUGUUUGUUUUCACUUAUGAACGGUGAUGAUAUGUUUGCUACAUUUGCUACUCGAUGCAUACGAAUCGAAGAAUAUCCAAUGGAGAAUUUUGAUUCUGGAUUCCAUAAUAACUCAUUUGUUGACCAAAUUCAAAACUAUUUUCGAAUCUGUUUUCGCUCAUCAUC